rnacentral:rRNA from 1 species
GCAGCACGGGGGCAACCCUGGUGGCGAGUGGCGAACGGGUGAGUAACAUAUCGGAACGUGCCCUGGAGUGGGGGAUAACUAGUCGAAAGAUUAGCUAAUACCGCAUACGAUCUACGGAUGAAAGUGGGGGAUCGCAAGACCUCAUGCUCGUGGAGCGGCCGAUAUCUGAUUAGCUAGUUGGUGGGGUAAAGGCCUACCAAGGCAUCGAUCAGUAGCUGGUCUGAGAGGACGACCAGCCACACUGGGACUGAGACACGGCCCAGACUCCUACGGGAGGCAGCAGUGGGGAAUUUUGGACAAUGGGCGCAAGCCUGAUCCAGCAAUGCCGCGUGAGUGAAGAAGGCCUUCGGGUUGUAAAGCUCUUUUGUCAGGGAAGAAACGGUUCGGGUUAAUACCUUGGGCUAAUGACGGUACCUGAAGAAUAAGCACCGGCUAACUACGUGCCAGCAGCCGCGGUAAUACGUAGGGUGCAAGCGUUAAUCGGAAUUACUGGGCGUAAAGCGUGCGCAGGCGGUUGUGCAAGACAGAUGUGAAAUCCCCGGGCUCAACCUGGGAAUUGCAUUUGUGACUGUACGGCUAGAGUGUGUCAGAGGGGGGUAGAAUUCCACGUGUAGCAGUGAAAUGCGUAGAGAUGUGGAGGAAUACCGAUGGCGAAGGCAGCCCCCUGGGAUAACACUGACGCUCAUGCACGAAAGCGUGGGGAGCAAACAGGAUUAGAUACCCUGNUAGUCCACGCCCUAAACGAUGUCUACUAGUUGUCGGGUCUUUAUUGACUUGGUAACGCAGCUNACGCGUGAAGUANACCGCCUGGGGAGUACGGUCGCAAGAUUAAAACUCAAANGAAUUGACGGGGACCCGCACAAGCGGUGGANGAUGUGGAUUAAUUCGAUGCAACGCGAAAACCUUACCUACCCUUGACAUGGUCGGAAGCCUCGAGAGAUUGAGNCNUGCUCGAAA